rnacentral:rRNA from 1 species
AGAGUUUGAUCAUGGCUCAGAUUGAACGCUGGCGGCAGGCCUAACACAUGCAAGUCGAACGGUAACAGGAAACAGCUUGCUGUUUCGCUGACGAGUGGCGGACGGGUGAGUAAUGUCUGGGAAACUGCCUGAUGGAGGGGGAUAACUACUGGAAACGGUAGCUAAUACCGCAUAACGUCGCAAGACCAAAGAGGGGGACCCUCGGGCCUCUUGCCAUCGGAUGUGCCCAGAUGGGAUUAGCUUGUUGGUGGGGUAACGGCUCACCAAGGCGACGAUCCCUAGCUGGUCUGAGAGGAUGACCAGCCACACUGGAACUGAGACACGGUCCAGACUCCUACGGGAGGCAGCAGUGGGGAAUAUUGCACAAUGGGCGCAAGCCUGAUGCAGCCAUGCCGCGUGUAUGAAGAAGGCCUUCGGGUUGUAAAGUACUUUCAGCGGGGAGGAAGGGAGUAAAGUUAAUACCUUUGCUCAUUGACGUUACCCGCAGAAGAAGCACCGGCUAACUCCGUGCCAGCAGCCGCGGUAAUACGGAGGGUGCAAGCGUUAAUCGGAAUUACUGGGCGUAAAGCGCACGCAGGCGGUUUGUUAAGUCAGAUGUGAAAUCCCCGGGCUCAACCUGGGAACUGCAUCUGAUACUGGCAAGCUUGAGUCUCGUAGAGGGGGGUAGAAUUCCAGGUGUAGCGGUGAAAUGCGUAGAGAUCUGGAGGAAUACCGGUGGCGAAGGCGGCCCCCUGGACGAAGACUGACGCUCAGGUGCGAAAGCGUGGGGAGCAAACAGGAUUAGAUACCCUGGUAGUCCACGCCGUAAACGAUGUCGACUUGGAGGUUGUGCCCUUGAGGCGUGGCUUCCGGAGCUAACGCGUUAAGUCGACCGCCUGGGGAGUACGGCCGCAAGGUUAAAACUCAAAUGAAUUGACGGGGGCCCGCACAAGCGGUGGAGCAUGUGGUUUAAUUCGAUGCAACGCGAAGAACCUUACCUGGUCUUGACAUCCACAGAACUUUCCAGAGAUGGAUUGGUGCCUUCGGGAACUGUGAG